UUUUGUGACAGCGAGUAGUCGUGAGCAUGGAGGGGCUAUAGCUGGGCGAAGGGAGCAACGUCACUGUCUUGAGGCUGUACUUGGUUGAGUGUGACCUGAAAAAUCAGGGCAAGUCUGGCAUUGUGGGGGCCAAGUGCUUACCUGCGCUUAAACGUUAUGAUGAGCUUACAGGAGCACCGCCAAGAUCUGCACUGCGGUGCUUAUGCUGCUAGUUGGGCAUUGUGGCAGCCAAGUACUCAUGGCUGCUUAGAUACUACAAUGAUCCUACACAAGAGGACCACCUAGGUCAAUGAAGCACCAUAGAACCCACCACCGGUCUCCUGCGCUAACGACGUUGUCGUUAAUGGGCGUUGGUCUCAGACAAUGCAUGUCCACGCAGCAUGGAGCUGCUGC